rnacentral:siRNA from 1 species
GGAGCUCCUUACGUAUUCUUCACC